CACGUAGGCGGAUUUGCCAGUCAGGGGUGAAAUCCCGGGGCUCAACCUCGGAACUGCCUCUGAUACAGCAAGUCUUGAGUUCGAGAGAGGUGGGUGGAAUUCCUAGUGUAGAGGUGAAAUUCGUAGAUAUUAGGAAGAACACCGGUGGCGAAGGCGGCCCACUGGCUCGAUACUGACGCUGAGGUGCGAAAGCGUGGGGAGCAAACA
rnacentral:rRNA from 1 species